CUCCUCUCCUUUUCUCAAAAUGUGUUUCUCUUCAGCAGGUAGGGAAGAGGAGGAUGUUUGACUGCGGAUCUCCCAUGAGAGGGCAGUAGUGUCCAAGGACAGAGCUCAAACAGGAGAAUGGCAGAAUUGCUAAAUUGCCUUAUUUAGUCUAUCUGUCAGUGAGUUUGUCAGGGUGAGCAAGGUUACUGAAGUGUGCGUAAAGGGCAGGUCUUUCUGGACAGAAAUGAGGGGUAUCAACUGAGUUGGAGUGUGUGUGUGAGGGGCUGGAACUGAAGGGGCUGCAGGUCUGGACUGAGGUGCAUCUGCAAAUGAGUUGGGAAGGACUGGAAUAUCAGAAGACUGCUAGAGUGGAAUAUAUUGGCACAGGUAAAUGAAGAUAUGUUUGGUGAAAAAACUAAAUUCAUGCGAUGGGAUAUAUCACCAAAUUACUAAGUUAGUGGACUGAGCCAUGUUGGUCAAGGGUUGGGCAGCAGUGGAACUGAUCUCCUGUAGAACAACGUGACCAAAGAAGAGGAGGAGCUCUUCUCUUAACCCCCCUGCAGCCCUUGGGAUAUACACAGGAGAAGUACUGACAAGGCCCCAACUGUUAUGGGCUGGGCAACUUCUAUGCGAUACUGGAUACCAUCAGGUAUAGGAGUUUGUGGUUUGGUGCUGAAGGCCAAAGACUAUAAAAAAUAAACUAUAUGAUAUUGUAAUGGGCCACCAUUAAGAGUUGUCAAGGUAUUGAAAGGGUGGAUAGAGGAGAUAACGCGUUAAAGGGGUUUUAAAUUUAUGAGCCAAAUGGCCCAAGCCCCCUGGUCAAAGCAUGUAGGCUCUAUGGUUGUGUGGAGCUACAGGGUUACCCUAGAUAUUACUAAUAUAGUGGCUAAGGAUUGGUUGUAGACAGAGUUUGAGUAAAGCAGAAGAAGUGGGUUUGUGUGAACCUGAGGAGACAGAGAGGCAGCCUUUCCUGUUGGGCACUGA